GACGAACGCUGGCGGCGUGCCUAAUACAUGCAAGUAGAACGCUGAAGGAGGAGCUUGCUCUUCUGGAUGAGUUGCGAACGGGUGAGUAACGCGUAGGUAACCUGCCUGUUAGCGGGGGAUAACUAUUGGAAACGAUAGCUAAUACCGCAUAACAGUAGAUGUUGCAUGACAUUUGCUUAAAAGGUGCAAUUGCACCACUACCAGAUGGACCUGCGUUGUAUUAGCUAGUUGGUGGGGUAACGGCUAACCAAGGCGACGAUACAUAGCCGACCUGAGAGGGGGAUCGGCCACACUGGGACUGAGACACGGCCCAGACUCCUACGGGAGGCAGCAGUAGGGAAUCUUCGGCAAUGGACGGAAGUCUGACCGAGCAACGCCGCGUGAGUGAAGAAGGUUUUCGGAUCGUAAAGCUCUGUUGUAAGAGAAGAACGAGUGUGAGAGUGGAAAGUUCACACUGUGACGGUAUCUUACCAGAAAGGGACGGCUAACUACGUG
rnacentral:rRNA from 1 species